GACAGAGGAUGCAAGCGUUAUUCGGAAUUACUGGGCGUAAAGCGCACGUAGGCGGCUUUGUAAGUAAGAGGUGAAAGCCCAGAGCUCAACUCUGGAAUUGCCUUUUAGACUGCAUCGCUUGAAUCAUGGAGAGGUCAGUGGAAUUCCGAGUGUAGAGGUGAAAUUUCGUAGAUAUUCGGAAGAACACCAGUGGCGAAGGCGGCUGACUGGACAUGUAUUGACGCUGAGGUGCGAAAGCGUGGGGAGCAAACAGG
rnacentral:rRNA from 1 species